AACGAACGCUGGCGGCAUGCCUAACACAUGCAAGUCGAACGAGACCUUCGGGUCUAGUGGCGCACGGGUGCGUAACGCGUGGGAACCUGCCCUUAGGUUCGGAAUAACUCCCCGAAAGGGGUGCUAAUACCGGAUAAUGUCUUCGGACCAAAGAUUUAUCGCCUUUGGAUGGGCCCGCGUUGGAUUAGCUAGUUGGUAGGGUAAAAGCCUACCAAGGCGACGAUCCAUAGCUGGUCUGAGAGGAUGAUCAGCCACACUGGGACUGAGACACGGCCCAGACCCCUGGGGGGGGAAGAGGGGGGGAAUAUGGAAAAAGGGGCGAAAGCCGGACCAAGCAAUGCCGCGGGAGUAAGGAGGGCUUUAGGGUUGUAAAGCUCUUUUACCCGGUAUGAAAAGGAGGUACCGGGGAAAAUAGGCCCGGCCUAACCCCGUC
rnacentral:rRNA from 1 species